AUUAGAUAGUGUUCCCCUCCCACCCUGACACCGUGUAUGUCUGGGUGGGACCUGAUCUUGGCGAGGAGUGGUUCUAAUGCUAGGAUGAACAAUAAUCGGGAGAGGCGGCACCCCUGUCUAGUUCCGUUACCCAAAUGGAAGGGGUUGUUAGGGGCCCUGGCCACUUUGACCUGGCUUUAGCGUUGGUGUAUAGUGCCUGGAUGGCUGUAACAUAUGGGGUUGGG